rnacentral:rRNA from 3 species
ACUUAAAUUGAAGAGUUUGAUCAUGGCUCAGAUUGAACGCUGGCGGCAGGCCUAACACAUGCAAGUCGAGCGGUAGCACAGAGAGCUUGCUCUCGGGUGACGAGCGGCGGACGGGUGAGUAAUGUCUGGGAAACUGCCUGAUGGAGGGGGAUAACUACUGGAAACGGUAGCUAAUACCGCAUAACGUCGCAAGACCAAAGUGGGGGACCUUCGGGCCUCAUGCCAUCAGAUGUGCCCAGAUGGGAUUAGCUAGUAGGUGGGGUAACGGCUCACCUAGGCGACGAUCCCUAGCUGGUCUGAGAGGAUGACCAGCCACACUGGAACUGAGACACGGUCCAGACUCCUACGGGAGGCAGCAGUGGGGAAUAUUGCACAAUGGGCGCAAGCCUGAUGCAGCCAUGCCGCGUGUGUGAAGAAGGCCUUCGGGUUGUAAAGCACUUUCAGCGGGGAGGAAGGCGGUGAGGUUAAUAACCUCACCGAUUGACGUUACCCGCAGAAGAAGCACCGGCUAACUCCGUGCCAGCAGCCGCGGUAAUACGGAGGGUGCAAGCGUUAAUCGGAAUUACUGGGCGUAAAGCGCACGCAGGCGGUCUGUCAAGUCGGAUGUGAAAUCCCCGGGCUCAACCUGGGAACUGCAUUCGAAACUGGCAGGCUAGAGUCUUGUAGAGGGGGGUAGAAUUCCAGGUGUAGCGGUGAAAUGCGUAGAGAUCUGGAGGAAUACCGGUGGCGAAGGCGGCCCCCUGGACAAAGACUGACGCUCAGGUGCGAAAGCGUGGGGAGCAAACAGGAUUAGAUACCCUGGUAGUCCACGCUGUAAACGAUGUCGAUUUGGAGGUUGUGCCCUUGAGGCGUGGCUUCCGGAGCUAACGCGUUAAAUCGACCGCCUGGGGAGUACGGCCGCAAGGUUAAAACUCAAAUGAAUUGACGGGGGCCCGCACAAGCGGUGGAGCAUGUGGUUUAAUUCGAUGCAACGCGAAGAACCUUACCUGGUCUUGACAUCCACAGAACUUAGCAGAGAUGCUUUGGUGCCUUCGGGAACUGUGAGACAGGUGCUGCAUGGCUGUCGUCAGCUCGUGUUGUGAAAUGUUGGGUUAAGUCCCGCAACGAGCGCAACCCUUAUCCUUUGUUGCCAGCGGUUAGGCCGGGAACUCAAAGGAGACUGCCAGUGAUAAACUGGAGGAAGGUGGGGAUGACGUCAAGUCAUCAUGGCCCUUACGACCAGGGCUACACACGUGCUACAAUGGCAUAUACAAAGAGAAGCGACCUCGCGAGAGCAAGCGGACCUCAUAAAGUAUGUCGUAGUCCGGAUUGGAGUCUGCAACUCGACUCCAUGAAGUCGGAAUCGCUAGUAAUCGUAGAUCAGAAUGCUACGGUGAAUACGUUCCCGGGCCUUGUACACACCGCCCGUCACACCAUGGGAGUGGGUUGCAAAAGAAGUAGGUAGCUUAACCUUCGGGAGGGCGCUUACCACUUUGUGAUUCAUGACUGGGGUGAAGUCGUAACAAGGUAACCGUAGGGGAACCUGCGGUUGGAUCACCUCCUUACCUUAAAGAA